rnacentral:rRNA from 1 species
AUUGAACGCUGGCGGCAGGCCUAACACAUGCAAGUCGAGCGAGCGGCGGACGGGUGAGUAAUGUCUGGGAAACUGCCCGAUGGAGGGGGAUAACUACUGGAAACGGUAGCUAAUACCGCAUACCAUCAGAUGUGCCCAGAUGGGAUUAGCUAGUCGGUGGGGUAACGGCUCACCUAGGAGACGAUCCCUAGCUGUUCUGAGAGGAUGACCAGCCACACGGUCACUGAGACACGGUCCAGACUCCUACGUGAGUCAGCAGGGGGGAAUAUUGCACAAUGGGCGCAAUCCUGAUGCAGCCAGGCCGCGUGUUUGAAGAAGGCCUUCGGGUUGUAAAGCACUUUCAGCGGGGAGGCGUUACCCGCAGAAGAAGUACCGGCUAACUCCGUGCCAGCAGCCGCGGUAAUUC